ACGCCUCUGGUUAGAGCCAUGAGACCCAGCUGAGCUUGUUUACUCUGAAUGACAACAACAGGCUUUUUGUUCAAACUGUGACAGGGAGGACUCUGCUCACCCACACAGCGUGGAAGCAGUCCAGCAGGACGCCGAUGACCCAGCAGACGUGUCCGAGGAUCACCUGCAUACCGAUGACACUCCAGAACAGGUAAAGGAAGUAAACCAGUGGCGCCCCGGCGCCGAUCACCAGCAGCACCGUGAGCCUCUUCAGAACCAGCCUGCCCAUCGCCUCCACCCCGUAGUUAACGCACCACACGGGGACCAGUAGGGUCCCCACGACGAUGGGAGUCCCGGUGUCCUGCAGGCCGCUGAGCCAUGAACGGCCCAGCCGAGCCAGGGAGUGCUUGAAUGGGUGGAGGAAGGUGCCGCAGAGCACUGCCCACAGCAGCGGGCGGAGGAAGGCCUCUAGGAUGAAGGAGGACGGCUGGGUUAGGAGUUGGCUCAUCAUCCCGACGGCCGGUUGAACGCUCUCAGAGAAGGAAACGGAGAGAGGCCGCCCGGUGUGAGGGCUGCCCAGAGGAGAGACGGCGCUGGGCUCCGGCGGCGACUCCUCUUCAUCUGCCAUGUUACUGCUGCGGCUCCAGUGGACUGUCCAACGGCUCCGCCGCGUGACGAAGGACAACAUAUGACGUAGAAACAGCGACCGUGCCAAUGGGGGCAUGGGGAAUGUAGUUCUUAACGGGAAAGAAACUAUGGAGGCAUAUUUUCUCAUUUUUAUAUAAUAAUCUUAAGCCUUGGUAGUUAAUGUCAUGUAGCAGAAUAUUUGGGACACAUAAAAAAUAAUACACAAAAAU